rnacentral:rRNA from 1 species
GACGAACGCUGGCGGCGUGCUUAACACAUGCAAGUCGAACGGAAAGGCCCUGCUUUUGUGGGGUGCUCGAGUGGCGAACGGGUGAGUAACACGUGAGUAACCUGCCCUUGACUUUGGGAUAACUUCAGGAAACUGGGGCUAAUACCGGAUAGGAGCUCCUGCUGCACGGUGGGGGUUGGAAAGAUUCGGCGGUUGGGGAUGGACUCGCGGCUUAUCAGCUUGUUGGUGGGGUAGUGGCUUACCAAGGCUUCGACGGGUAGCCGGCCUGAGAGGGUGACCGGCCACAUUGGGACUGAGAUACGGCCCAGACUCCUACGGGAGGCAGCAGUGGGGAAUAUUGCACAAUGGGCGGAAGCCUGAUGCAGCAACGCCGCGUGCGGGAUGACGGCCUUCGGGUUGUAAACCGCUUUCGCCUGUGACGAAGCGUGAGUGACGGUAAUGGGUAAAGAAGCACCGGCUAACUACGUG